AGAUAUAUGGAAGAACACCAGUGGCGAAGGCGGCUGUCUGGUCUGCAACUGACGCUGAGGCUCGAAAGCAUGGGUAGCGAACAGGAUUAGAUACCCUGGUAGUCCAUGCCGUAAACGAUGAUUACUAAGUGUUGGAGGGUUUCCGCCCUUCAGUGCUGCAGCUAACGCAUUAAGUAAUCCGCCUGGGGAGUACGACCGCAAGGUUGAAACUCAAAAGAAUUGACGGGGGCCCGCACAAGCGGUGGAGCAUGUGGUUUAAUUCGAAGCUACGCGAAGAACCUUACCAGGUCUUGACAUCUUCUGACAGUCUAAGAGAUUAGAGGUUCCCUUCGGGGACAGAAUGACAGGUGGUGCAUGGUUGUCGUCAGCUCGUGUCGUGAGAUGUUGGGUUAAGUCCCGCAACGAGCGCAACCCUUAUUACUAGUUGCCAGCAUUAAGUUGGGCACUCUAGUGAGACUGCCGGUGACAAACCGGAGGAAGGUGGGGACGACGUCAAAUCAUCAUGCCCCUUAUGACCUGGGCUACACACGUGCUACAAUGGAUGGUACAACGAGUCGCGAGACCGCGAGGUUAAGCUAAUCUCUUAAAACCAUUCUCAGUUCGGACUGUAGGCUGCAACUCGCCUACACGAAGUCGGAAUCGCUAGUAAUCGCGGAUCAGCAUGCCGCGGUGAAUACGUUCCCGGGCCUUGUACACACCGCCCGUCACACCAUGAGAGUUUGUAACACCCAAAGCCGGUGGGGUAACCUUUUUAGGAGCUAGCCGUCUAAGGUGGGACAGAUGAUUAGGGGAAGUCGUAACAAGG
rnacentral:rRNA from 1 species